rnacentral:rRNA from 1 species
GAUGGACGCUAGCUACAGGCUUAACACAUGCAAGUCGAGUGACCGCCGCACGGUUGAGUAACACGUAUCCAACCUACCCUUUACUCGGCGAUAGCCUUUGGAAAGAAAGGUGAAUACCCGAUAUAAAGGAUGGGGAUGCGUUCCAUUCGGUUGUUGGUGAGGUAACGGCUCACCAAGCCUUCGAUGGAUAGGGGUUCUGAGAGGAAGGUGCCCCACAUGUGAACUGAAACACGGUCCAAACGCCUACGGGAGGCAGCAGUGAGGAAUAUUGGUCAAUGGGAGCUAGCCUGAACCAGCCAAGUAGCGUGAAGGAUGAAGGCUUAUGGGUAGUAAACUUCUUUUAUAUACGAAUAUGUAUUAUAUGGAUAAGGAUCGGAUAACUCCGUGCCAGCAGCCGCGGUAAUUC